UCUGACACAGGUGCUGCAUGGCUGUCGUCAGCUCGUGUCGUGAGAUGUUGGGUUAAGUCCGUAACGAGCGCAACCCUUGUCCUUAGUUACCAGCACGGUUAUGGUGGGCACUCUAAGGAGACUGCCGGUGACAAACCGGAGGGAAGGUGGGGGAUGACGUCAAGUCAUCAUGGCCCUUACGGCCUGGGCUACACACGUGCUACAAUGGUCGGUACAAAGGGUUGCCAAGCCGCGAGGUGGAGCUAAUCCCAUAAAACCGAUCGUAGUCCGGAUCGCAGUCUGCAACUCGACUGCGUGAAGUCGGAAUCGCUAGUAAUCGUGAAUCAGAAUGUCACGGUGAAUACGUUCCCGGGCCUU
rnacentral:rRNA from 1 species